GGCCCAUUAAUUCUCAGGACCGGC
rnacentral:siRNA from 1 species